GAGGAGGAGAGAGAGAGCCGAGGGGAAGAGAUGACUCGCGAGCAGGACUUAUCCGAGUGAGGAGCUGAACACAGAGAGGGACCCCAUCAUGGAAGAGGAGCUGCCCGCACCUAAGGAUGCAAUAAGUGUCUGUCGUUUCUGCGCGGCAGGAUCGAAAUCAGAUGACGCAGAACAGCGAGGUGGAAACGUGUCACGUCCCUCGCACGACAGGAGGUCUGUUUCUGUCUUUGGUUAUCUAGCUGUAUGAGUUUUAAAUCCCUGUCAUAAAGCUAGAUAACCGAAAGUAGAAAUGACUUCCAUUACUGACGUCUACAGACUGCAAGAGGAUUGAUGCUGUCUCCAAAAGCUCCUCCAGGCCUUCAGCCUCCCAUGGCCACAGCAGACCCCUCAGAGCGAGGGAAGAACGAAAACGGUAAAGAAGAAGAAGAAGAAGAAGAAGAGGCAUCGGAGGACGAAAUCCUUCCCGCCCUUUUUCAGCCCUCAACCGCCUCGCAGCAUCACAGCAUCUCAGCAUCACGGCGUCACGGCGUCACGGCGUCACGGCAGCGCAGCAUCUGUGCCGCCACCGGGCCACGCGGUCCACGGUGCCAACAGACGGACAAAGACACCCACCCCCCACCUCCCCCGGCCCGA